rnacentral:rRNA from 1 species
UUAAAUUGAAGAGUUUGAUCAUGGCUCAGAUUGAACGCUGGCGGCAGGCCUAACACAUGCAAGUCGAACGGUAACAGGAAGCAGCUUGCUGCUUUGCUGACGAGUGGCGGACGGGUGAGUAAUGUCUGGGAAACUGCCUGAUGGAGGGGGAUAACUACUGGAAACGGUGGCUAAUACCGCAUAACGUCGCAAGACCAAAGAGGGGGACCUUCGGGCCUCUUGCCAUCAGAUGUGCCCAGAUGGGAUUAGCUUGUUGGUGAGGUAACGGCUCACCAAGGCGACGAUCCCUAGCUGGUCUGAGAGGAUGACCAGCCACACUGGAACUGAGACACGUAUUGCACAAUGGGCGCAAGCCUGAUGCAGCCAUGCCGCGUGUAUGAAGAAGGCCUUCGGGUUGUAAAGUACUUUCAGCGGGGAGGAAGGUGUUGUGGUUAAUAACCGCAGCAAUUGACGUUACCCGCAGAAGAAGCACCGGCUAACUCCGUGCCAGCAGCCGCGGUAAUACGGAGGGUGCAAGCGUUAAUCGGAAUUACUGGGCGUAAAGCGCACGCAGGCGGUCUGUCAAGUCGGAUGUGAAAUCCCCGGGCUCAACCUGGGAACUGCAUUCGAAACUGGCAGGCUUGAGUCUUGUAGAGGGGGGUAGAAUUCCAGGUGUAGCGGUGAAAUGCGUAGAGAUCUGGAGGAAUACCGGUGGCGAAGGCGGCCCCCUGGACAAAGACUGACGCUCAGGUGCGAAAGCGUGGGGAGCAAACAGGAUUAGAUACCCUGGUAGUCCACGCCGUAAACGAUGUCUACUUGGAGGUUGUGCCCUUGAGGCGUGGCUUCCGGAGCUAACGCGUUAAGUAGACCGCCUGGGGAGUACGGCCGCAAGGUUAAAACUCAAAUGAAUUGACGGGGGCCCGCACAAGCGGUGGAGCAUGUGGUUUAAUUCGAUGCAACGCGAAGAACCUUACCUGGUCUUGACAUCCACAGAAGAAUCCAGAGAUGGAUUUGUGCCUUCGGGAACUGUGAGACAGGUGCUGCAUGGCUGUCGUCAGCUCGUGUUGUGAAAUGUUGGGUUAAGUCCCGCAACGAGCGCAACCCUUAUCCUUUGUUGCCAGCGGUUAGGCCGGGAACUCAAAGGAGACUGCCAGUGAUAAACUGGAGGAAGGUGGGGAUGACGUCAAGUCAUCAUGGCCCUUACGACCAGGGCUACACACGUGCUACAAUGGCGCAUACAAAGAGAAGCGACCUCGCGAGAGCAAGCGGACCUCAUAAAGUGCGUCGUAGUCCGGAUUGGAGUCUGCAACUCGACUCCAUGAAGUCGGAAUCGCUAGUAAUCGUGGAUCAGAAUGCCACGGUGAAUACGUUCCCGGGCCUUGUACACACCGCCCGUCACACCAUGGGAGUGGGUUGCAAAAGAAGUAGGUAGCUUAACCUUCGGGAGGGCGCUUACCACUUUGUGAUUCAUGACUGGGGUGAAGUCGUAACAAGGUAACCGUAGGGGAACCUGCGGUUGGAUCACCUCCUUACCUUAAAGAAGC